GACGAACGCUGGCGGCGUGCCUAAUACAUGCAAGUCGAACGCAGUGGGGACGGGUGAGUAACACGUGGGUAACCUCCCAUCAGAGGGGAUAACACUUGGAAACCGGUGCUAAACCGAUACUGUUGGAUGAUACGGCGGGGCAUUAGCUAGUUGGUGAGGUAACGGCUCACAAAGGCAACGAUGCAUAAACGGCCUGAGAGGUUGAGCGGCCACACUGGGACUGAGACACGGCCCAGACGCCUACGGGAGGCAGCAGUAGGGAAUCUGCGGCAAUGGACGAAAGUCUGACCGAGCAACGCCGCGUGAGUGAAGAAGGUUUUCGGAUCGUAAAACUCUUUCGGUAGAGAAGCGGUAUCUAACCAGAAAGCAACGGCUAACUACGUGCCAGCAGCCGCGGUAAUAC
rnacentral:rRNA from 1 species